UGGGGAAUCUUGGACAAUGGGCGCAAGCCUGAUCCAGCCAUGCCGCGUGAGUGAAGAAGGCCUUAGGGUUGUAAAACUCUUUCGCCGGAGAAGAUAAUGACGGUAUCCGGAGAAGAAGCCCCGGCUAACUUCGUGCCAGCAGCCGCGGUAAUACGAAGGGGGCUAGCGUUGUUCGGAAUUACUGGGCGUAAAGCGUACGUAGGCGGAUUUGUAAGUAGGGGGUGAAAUCCCCAGGCUCAACCUGGGAACUGCCUUCUAGACUGCAAGUCUUGAGAUCAGGAGAGGCGAGUGGAAUUCCGAGUGUAGAGGUGAAAUUCGUAGAUAUUCGGAGGAACACCAGUGGCGAAGGCGACUCGCUGGACUGAUACUGACGCUGAGGUACGAAAGCGUGGGGAGCAAACAGG
rnacentral:rRNA from 1 species